UUUUAUUUAGAAAAUAGUGAUUUUGAAAAUCACUGAAGAGCGCAAUAUAAGCUCAAUAAAAA
rnacentral:tRNA from 1 species